AUUGAACGCUGGCGGAAUGCUUUACACAUGCAAGUCGAGCGGCAGCACGGGGGCAACCCUGGUGGCGAGCGGCGAACGGGUGAGUAAUACAUCGGAACAUGCCCAGUCGUGGGGGAUAACACUUCGAAAGAAGUGCUAAUACCGCAUACGUCCUGAGGGGGAAAGCGGGGGAUCGCAAGACCUCGCGCGAUUGGAGUGGCCGAUGUCAGAUUAGCUAGUUGGUGGGGUAAAGGCCUACCAAGGCAACGAUCUGUAGCUGGUCUGAGAGGAUGAUCAGCCACACUGGGACUGAGACACGGCCCAGACUCCUACGGGAGGCAGCAGUGGGGAAUUUUGGAAAAUGGGGGAAACCCUGAUCCAGCCAUUCCGCGUGAGUGAAGAAGGCCUUCGGGUUGUAAAGCUCUUUCGGCAGGAACGAAACGGUGAGCUCUAAAAUAGCUUGCUAAUGACGGUACCUGAAGAAGAAGCACCGGCUAACUACGUG
rnacentral:rRNA from 1 species